GAAUUCGCCCUUAGAGUUUGAUCCUGGCUCAGGACGAACGCUGGCGGCGCGCCUAACACAUGCAAGUCGAACGGAGUUUGAGAGAGCUUGCUUUUUCAAACUUAGUGGCGAACGGGUGAGUAACGCGUGAGUAACCUGCCCUGGAGUGGGGGACAACAGUUGGAAACGACUGCUAAUACCGCAUAAGCCCACAGUGCCGCAUGGCACAGCGGGAAAAGGAUUUAUUCGCUUCAGGAUGGACUCGCGUCCAAUUAGCUAGUUGGUGAGGUAACGGCCCACCAAGGCGACGAUUGGUAGCCGGACUGAGAGGUUGAACGGCCACAUUGGGACUGAGACACGGCCCAGACUCCUACGGGAGGCAGCAGUGGGGGAUAUUGCACAAUGGGGGAAACCCUGAUGCAGCGACGCCGCGUGGAGGAAGAAGGUUUUCGGAUUGUAAACUCCUGUCGUUAGGGACGAUAAUGACGGUACCUAACAAGAAAGCACCGGCUAACUACGUGCCAGCAGCCGCGGUAAAACGUAGGGUGCAAGCGUUGUCCGGAAUUACUGGGUGUAAAGGGAGCGCAGGCGGACCGGCAAGUUGGAAGUGAAAUCUAUGGGCUCAACCCAUAAAUUGCUUUCAAAACUGCUGGCCUUGAGUAGUGCAGAGGUAGGUGGAAUUCCCGGUGUAGCGGUGGAAUGCGUAGAUAUCGGGAGGAACACCAGUGGCGAAGGCGACCUACUGGGCACCAACUGACGCUGAGGCUCGAAAGCAUGGGUAGCAAACAGGAUUAGAUACCCUGGUAGUCCAUGCCGUAAACGAUGAUUACUAGGUGUGGGAGGGAUUGACCCCUUCAGUGCCGCAGUUAACACAAUAAGUAAUCCACCUGGGGAGUACGACCGCAAGGUUGAAACUCAAAGGAAUUGACGGGGGCCCGCACAAGCAGUGGAGUAUGUGGUUUAAUUCGAAGCAACGCGAAGAACCUUACCAGGUCUUGACAUCCGAUGCAUAGUGCAGAGAUGCAUGAAGUCCUUCGGGACAUCGAGACAGGUGGUGCAUGGUUGUCGUCAGCUCGUGUCGUGAGAUGUUGGGUUAAGUCCCGCAACGAGCGCAACCCUUAUUGCCAGUUACUACGCAAGAGGACUCUGGCGAGACUGCCGUUGACAAAACGGAGGAAGGUGGGGAUGACGUCAAAUCAUCAUGCCCUUUAUGACCUGGGCUACACACGUACUACAAUGGCGUUUAACAAAGAGAAGCAAGACCGCGAGGUGGAGCAAAACUCAAAAACAACGUCUCAGUUCAGAUUGCAGGCUGCAACUCGCCUGCAUGAAGUCGGAAUUGCUAGUAAUCGCGGAUCAGCAUGCCGCGGUGAAUACGUUCCCGGGCCUUGUACUCACCGCCCGUCA
rnacentral:rRNA from 1 species